rnacentral:rRNA from 1 species
UGGGGAAUAUUGCACAAUGGGCGCAAGCCUGAUGCAGCCAUGCCGCGUGUAUGAAGAAGGCCUUCGGGUUGUAAAGUACUUUCAGUCGGGAGGAAGGUGGUAAGGUUAAUAACCUUGUCGAUUGACGUUACCCGCAGAAGAAGCACCGGCUAACUCCGUGCCAGCAGCCGCGGUAAUACGGAGGGUGCAAGCGUUAAUCGGAAUUACUGGGCGUAAAGCGCACGCAGGCGGUCUGUCAAGUCGGAUGUGAAAUCCCCGGGCUCAACCUGGGAACUGCAUUCGAAACUGGCAGGCUAGAGUCGUGUAGAGGGGGGUAGAAUUCCAGGUGUAGCGGUGAAAUGCGUAGAGAUCUGGAGGAAUACCGGUGGCGAAGGCGGCCCCCUGGACAAAGACUGACGCUCAGGUGCGAAAGCGUGGGGAGCAAACAGG